rnacentral:rRNA from 1 species
UACGUAGGGUGCGAGCGUUGUCCGGAAUUACUGGGCGUAAAGAGCUCGUAGGUGGUUUGUCGCGUUGUCCGUGAAAACUCACAGCUCAACUGUGGGCGUGCGGGCGAUACGGGCAGACUGGAGUACUGCAGGGGAGACUGGAAUUCCUGGUGUAGCGGUGGAAUGCGCAGAUAUCAGGAGGAACACCGGUGGCGAAGGCGGGUCUCUGGGCAGGAACUGACGCUGAGGAGCGAAAGCGUGGGGAGCGAACAGG